rnacentral:tRNA from 1 species
GGGGUUGUAGCUCAGCUGGGAGAGCGCUACAUUCGCAUUGUAGAGGUCGCAGGUUCGAUCCCUGUCAGCUCCACCA